UCAGCUUCUUGGCCUUUUUGAUAAGAUCAAGUGUACUAUCUGUUCUUAUUAGUUUAACAAACUGAUUUUUAAAAUGACCUCCAAAUCCAU
rnacentral:snRNA from 1 species